rnacentral:lncRNA from 1 species
CACCCUCAACCAGAAGCACUGGACUUAGGAAAGUUUGAAACCAAAGAAUCUCCAGCUCUUAGAGCCACAGAGCACUUGGCAAGAAACAGGCUUCUCAGCAGACUACCAUCAAGUGUAGAAGCAGACAAUUCAGGAUCAAAUCCAGGAUACCACACUGGACUUAGAAAAUCUUCAUUUUUCAUAAGCUCUUUCAGUGGAAGAGAGGCAGGGGAGCUGAGGACCACAUUUUGAGAAAACACUCAGACAUUCAGAGAACCAAACCAAAAUUGCUACCUCCCCAAGUUGGGGAGGUAAGUGCAAUUUUAAGGAAGAUAAUUGAUGGAGCAGGUGUAAAUAAAAGGUUAAUUUUAGAGUUAGAAGUGGAAUGCUUUCCAUUAGAUGGGAGGGGGUUACCUUCAGAACAAGGAAUUUCAUGCCAGAGGAAAUAGUUGGUUUUGGAAGGUGGGGGUGCAACCUCAACCUCAGUCUAGAUUGAGAAUACAUGACGAGGGUUGUGAGUAGGUCAGGAGAAUAGGUAAGUGCAGCAAGUUGGGAAGAGCUGCUUUGGAGAACACAGGAUUCACAUAAGUGAUGAAAGGGAGUUACAAGGGGUCAGUUAGUCUGUAAGCCACAUACAGCCUGCAUGCUCUGGAAUCCGGUGCUAAUAAUGCUUUGGCAGUGGGUCAUAAUGACCAACAUCAAACAUUGCAGAAAAAGCAAGGAUAACGCUGGAAGAAUUUUGUUUAAAGAGGGUCCUAAGGGUCUUGGGUGAAGCAGCUGGUGAAAGAGAAGGUGGAAAAACACUUGAAGCUCUACCUGUGGAAGAGUCAGUUAUCACACCAAGGAGACACAGGAGCCACCAGCUUGGGCUGACAGGUAAGAGUUUGUAGAAUAGACAAGGUGGAAAAGACAAAGCGAUUUUUCUUACAAGAAGGUAGCAGCCUAAUUUGAGAAUCAGUGGAGGUCUUUUGAAGAAGAUACUACUGGUAUUUUAUUAAAGACCUUAAAUUCUGGUACUAUCACUGAAUUUUCC